rnacentral:rRNA from 1 species
GUGAGGAAUAUUGGACAAUGGGCGAAAGCCUGAUGGAGCAACGCCGCGUGAAGGAUGAAGGUCUUCGGAUUGUAAACUUCUUUUAUGAGUGAAGAAUAUGACGGUAACUCAUGAAUAAGCACCGGCUAACUACGUGCCAGCAGCCGCGGUCAUACGUAGGGUGCAAGCAUUAUCCGGAGUGACUGGGCGUAAAGAGUUGCGUAGGCGGUUAUGUAAGCGAAUAGUGAAACCUGGUGGCUCAACCACACAGACUAUUAUUCGAACUGCAUAACUCGAGAAUGGUAGAGGUAACUGGAAUUUCUUGUGUAGGAGUGAAAUCCGUAGAUAUAAGAAGGAACACCAAUGGCGUAGGCAGGUUACUGGGCCAUUUCUGACGCUAAGGCACGAAAGCGUGGGGAGCGAACCGGAUUAGAUACCCGAGUAGUCC